rnacentral:misc_RNA from 1 species
GAUGAAGAACGUAGCGAAAUGCGAUACUUGGUGUGAAUUGAAGAAUCCCGUGAACCAUCGAGUCUUUGAACGCAAGUUGCGCCCGAAGCCACUAGGCCGAGGGCACGCCUGCCUGGGCGUCACACGCCGUUGCCCCCCCAUCUACUCCUUCGGGAUUGCGGGGGGGCGGAUGAUGGCCUCCCGUGCGCCUAGCCGCGCGGUUGGCAUAAAUACCAAGUCCUCGGCGACGCACGCCACGACAAUCGGUGGUUGCGAAACCUCGGUUGCCCGUCGUGUGCGUUCGUCGCGCAUCGAGGGCUCGAAAAAAUGCUCGGCUCCGGCUGGGCUUUCAACGCGACCCCAGGUCAGGCGGGGUUACCCGCUGAAUUUAAGCAUAUCAAUAAGCGGAGGA